rnacentral:rRNA from 1 species
CGUAGGGGGCAAGCGUUGUCCGGAAUUAUUGGGCGUAAAGAGCGCGUAGGCGGUCCGAUAAGUCGGCUGUGAAAGUCAGGGGCUCAACCCUUGAAAGCCGGCCGAUACUGUCGGACUAGAGUCCGGAAGAGGCAAGUGGAAUUCCCGGUGUAGCGGUGAAAUGCGCAGAUAUCGGGAGGAACACCAAUGGCGAAGGCAGCUUGCUGGGACGGUACUGACGCUGAGGCGCGAAAGCGUGGGGAGCAAACAGGAUUAGAUACCCUGGUAGUCCACGCCGUAAACGAUGGGCACUAGGUGUGGGAGGUGUCGACUCCUCCCGUGCCGCAGCUAACGCAUUAAGUGCCCCGCCUGGGGAGUACGGCCGCAAGGCUA